GACGAACGCUGGCGGCGUGCUUAACACAUGCAAGUCGAACGGUAAGGCCCUUCGGGGUACACGAGUGGCGAACGGGUGAGUAACACGUGGGUGAUCUGCCCUGCACUUCGGGAUAAGCCUGGGAAACUGGGUCUAAUACCGGAUAGGACCACUGCCUGCAUGGGGGGUGGUGGAAAGCUUUUGCGGGGUGGGAUGGGCCCGCGGCCUAUCAGCUUGUUGGUGGGGUGAUGGCCUACCAAGGCGACGAAGGGUAGCCGGCCUGAGAGGGUGACCGGCCACACGGGGACUGAGAUACGGCCCAGACUCCUACGGGAGGCAGCAGUGGGGAGUAUUGGACAAUGGGCGCAAGCCUGAUGCAGCGACGCCGCGUGAGGGAUGACGGCCUUCGGGUUGUAAACCUCUUUCAGCACCGACGAAGCGCAAGUGACGGUAGGUGCAGAAGAAGGACCGGCCAACUACGUGCCAGCCGCCGCGGUAA
rnacentral:rRNA from 1 species